UCUGCCUUCAACAAUAAAUACUGGAAUGUAAGUUUUUAAAUGUCUUUUUCAGUUUACAUCUUUCGUUUAUCCUUUACGUAUACACUAAAAUCCGUUAGAUCUUUCUUAGAAUGACAUGACAAUUACAUUAAUUGUGGGUGUAUACUGCUUUUGAAUAACAGCUAACUUAGAUUUGUUUUCAUUCAGAAUCCAGACGGCCUACUUAAAUAUGGACACUGAUGAUGCAACAAAAAGUCUUCAUUUACAACAAAGGUAACGUUACUUUGGGGCUGACAGACAGCCAUUGUGAAGGACACAAUCUGGAAAAAAAAAUUACCUGCAGAGGUGAAUGGGAGGAUAUGGGCUCUGAGGAAAAACUCUACACACAGACGCUCUACACACAUAGACGGCUCAAUGCUGCUAACUGGCAGAGCAGCUGGAAAACUAAAA